rnacentral:rRNA from 1 species
GGGGAAAGGAGGAGGAGGGAAGGUCAGAUGAGGAGGAGGAGGAGGAGAGAGGGUUUAGUGGCUGGGCAGCGCUUUAGCCGUCUAAACGAGGCGCCCUCGCGCAGCUGCUGCCCAGCUACCGGCGGCGGCGGCGCAAGAGGUAGUCCCUCAUGCGCCGCUCGCACUCCCCGUUCGGUCGCCGCCUCCCCGCCGCAGAGAACCCUUAGCUCCUAGACGGCGGAGAGCCCCGCGGCUCCACGGCCACCACCCGCCUACUCGACCGGAGGUGGCACCGACGGCGUCGACGCCGCCGCAGGCGCUCCUCCCGCGGUCCCUUCCGCUCCGGCGGCUUCUUCGCCAGGUAGAGGCUGGAGAAGCGGCGCCGCGGGGGGAACGGGCACGGGGGCCGGCCACUAUGGCCCACGUUUCUCGUUUGCCUCCACCUGCCGCUGCUCCGCGACACGCGCUAGCGCUCCGCCCGGUUCCUCCUCUUCUUUGCUUUCUCUUUCGACGUUCUUCUCCUCCCCGUCUUCCUCCUCUGCCGCCGUCACCUACGGCGCGGCCUCUCGUCGGCUCCGGCUCUCGGGCUCCCCUUAAAGCGACGUUCUUUCCUUCGUGAACUUUUAGGUUUGGACAAACUACCUGACCUAUGAUUGAGUAAUGUCUUUGGACUCCGAAGUGUUGUAGUGUCUCUUCUCUCUCUUUUCUAUAGACUCUCUUCCUUCGUACCCUUCUAGUUAUUAUAUUUAUUCUUCUUCCGAUUGUGUGUUUUCGUGUAGCCGUUGUACUUUUACCAGUUCCUCUUUGCACCGUUAAGUCUUCCGGUCCUUCAUUAUCUUGAGACGGCGUUUAGUCACUCUGCACAGUUUAAGAGUCUUCGUCUACGAUAUGAACUCGAUGGUCUUGCUGUUUCAGAGACGUUCUACAAAAGUCUACGAUACCGAAGAAGUAGCAGUAGGAGCAGUAGUAGUAGUAGUAAGUGCAGAUGGCUUCCUCUGUUUACGUAUUGACGUCUUUCACCAUCAAGAGUAUACGGGUACCUUCGAAGGUGAUUCAGUCUUCGUUUAUUCUUAAGUCUAGUACUCCUAAGAGGACUGUUUUCGUAUUGACGUCUUUCACCAUGAAGAGUAUAAGGGUACCUUCGAAAGUGAUUCUGCUUUCUUCGUUUAUUCUUAAGUCUAGUACUCCUAAGAGGACUCCGACCAUUGUUUCUCUACAGUCGAGGAGAGUAACUAGACUUAUACCGCAAUGGCCUUAGAUGACUUGACCUGGUUUCCGAUCUUUCGUUUGUUAGAUGACGACUGAACCUUUCUUAUUGCUUAAGUUCAAGCCGUCCGUGUAAUAACGUACCUGACUGUCAAGCAAACUACCCAUUUCUAGAAGGUCAAACGUGCUGGUCUCGACUUAGCUAAAGGCUCUGACGCGUCUUCGUAUGUCCUAUGAAGUACGAAGUUGUAUAGUACGUUCGGGUUCAGUCCGUACCUGAUGUGUACUAAUGCCGGUGGGACAAGGUCGUCGAUUACAUGAAAGACCUCUAGUCAACGGUAUACUUUUGUCUACCGUAGUUAGAACUGCUGUACGCACCUACCACCUAAUUCGUGGUCAUGUAGGGUUGAGGCCAGGAGGUGGCCGGCGAGUGGUGCUGCCUCUGGCUGCGUACCGCAGAGGUGACGUUCUUACGGUACCACGUGGCCGAGUGGUAGCUCGUCAACCUCGCGUUCUGACACCGCCUACUCUGCUGAUUUCGGUUCCGGCGAACCGACCGCUUCCUCGUUGUUACAGACCAGGUAGGCGACUGGCCGUAGUAGAGGAGGAGGCUACUGAGGCAGCCGUGGCGGGAGGCGGCGGUUACGGAUGUGCCUACCCAUGUCAGCGUGGCCCUGGCGUUCUCCUUUCCCGAUCGCUCCUUUACCACU